ACAAUAAAGUGCUCACUUCAUAGAAAAUUUCCCAGUUGUCAAUGACUUGGCAACUUUUACCACCUCAAUUGUAGCAAACAGUACAGUGCUGCAACGAACUUCGGUUCAGAUGAUGUUUCUGACAGGAUCUUGCCGUGUAUCUUAACUCCACUAGGCUUUAGUUUCCUAAUUAAUCCAAUGGGAUUAACAACACCUCCCUUGGUUGAUGAGAAUACUUUUGGUAAUGUUUGAUCUAACUUCUAAAGCCCCCACUUUUCUUUCUGCUUACUUCUAGGCUCCACCUCCAGCACUGGCACUCAUAUUGAAAACACACUUUCUUAGGUCCCCAGUGCCUGCCAGCACAGGAUGGGGUGUCCACUCUGUGAGAAGGAGGCUGUACCUAUUUGUUUCUGGUUUUGUCUAAUUGGUGGGCUUAUGCUAAAUGCCUCGAACUGAGUGACAAGGAGGGUCUGGCAUUUCAUUAAAAUUAGGAGGGGAAUCUGAACAUCAAAACGCCAAAGAGGUAACAAGACCUCAGAAGAAAAUGGCUACUUAUCUACAUGGGAAGGAUCUGCGGGGUCCAGGAGAAGCUCCACAAGCUCAAGGAAGAGGCAGAGCUGCAAGGAUGAAAGGGUAACUGGAGAGGGAACACAGCUCUGAAGUGGGCACGCUGCUGAAAAGAAGGCAAGGGAAAGCCCUAUGCAUCCCCACGAGCAUGUUUAAAAUGAUGAGGACGAACUGCUGUACAGAAGGUAGGCACAGGGAGUCCAAUAGACCCAGAGUUAGUGUUGCUUGUCAGUGAGCCUAAAUGAAGACUUCAACCCAGAUUUAAAAACGUAACUAGGAAGGCUUCCUUUGCAGAAAUGAAAUAAGGUCAUAAAUCCUUUGAAAAAUGCCCUAGGUAUACAAAAGCAAGGGAUAUAUAUA
rnacentral:sRNA from 1 species